rnacentral:rRNA from 1 species
AGAUUGAACGCUGGCGGUAUGCUUAACACAUGCAAGUCGAACGGUAACAGCGAUCCCUUCGGGGUGAACUGCUGACGAGUGGCGGACGGGUGAGUAAUACUUAGGAAUCUACCCAGUAGCGGGGGACAACACGACGAAAGUCGUGCUAAUACCGCAUACGCCCUAAGGGGGAAAGUGGAGGAUCUUCGGACUUCACGCUAUUGGAUGAGCCUAAGCCGGAUUAGCUUGUUGGUGGGGUAAUGGCCUACCAAGGCAACGAUCCGUAGCUGGUCUGAGAGGACGAUCAGCCACACUGGGACUGAGACACGGCCCAGACUCCUACGGGAGGCAGCAGUGGGGAAUAUUGGACAAUGGGCGCAAGCCUGAUCCAGCAAUACCGCGUGUGUGAAGAAGGCCUGCGGGUUGUAAAGCACUUUCAGUAGAGAAGAAAAGCUUAGGGUUAAUACCCCUGGGUCUUGACGUAACCUACAGAAGAAGCACCGGCUAACUCCGUGCCAGCAGCCGCGGUAAUACGGGGGGUGCAAGCGUUAAUCGGAAUUACUGGGCGUAAAGCGCGCGUAGGCGGUCUGGUCAGUCGGAUGUGAAAGCCCCGGGCUCAACCUGGGAAUUGCAUUCGAUACUGCCCGACUAGAAUAUGGAAGAGGGAAGUGGAAUUUCCGGUGUAGCGGUGAAAUGCGUAGAGAUCGGAAGGAACACCAGUGGCGAAGGCGGCUUCCUGGUCCAAUAUUGACGCUGAGGUGCGAAAGCGUGGGGAGCGAACAGGAUUAGAUACCCUGGUAGUCCACGCCGUAAACGAUGAGAACUAGAUGUCGGAAGGGUUUAGCCUUUCGGUGUCGCAGCUAACGCGUUAAGUUCUCCGCCUGGGGAGUACGGUGGCAACACUA